rnacentral:hammerhead_ribozyme from 1 species
AUCCAGCUGACGAGUCCCAAAUAGGACGUCUCGGAU